rnacentral:rRNA from 1 species
GGGGGGGGGGGGGGGGGGGGGGGGUGGGGGCGGGGCGGGGGGGGAGGCGAGGGGCGUGCUCGUCUGACGGUGGCGGCGGACGGGUGAGGAACAGGUGGCGAACCUCCCUAGAGGACUGGGAUAACUGCGGGACACCGGAGCUAAUCCCGGCUAAUAUAUUGGACCGCAUGGUUCAAUAGGGAAAGACGGUUUUGCUGUCACUCACGAGUGGCUCCCCGCCGCACUAGCUAGGUGUUCAGGUAACCGCUUACCAAGGCGACGAUGCGUAGCCGCACUGAGAGGGUGAUCGGCCACACUGGAACUGAGACACGGCCCAGACGCCGAAGGGAGGCAGCAGUAGGGAAUCUUCCGCAAAGGGCGAAAGCCUGACGGAGCAACGCCGCGUGAGUGAUGAAGGUCUCCGGAUCGUAAAACUCUGUUAUUAGGGAAGAACAAAUGUGUAAGUAACUAUGCACGUCUUGACGGUACCUAAUCAGAAAGCCACGGCUAACUACGUG